AUGCAAGCCGAGCGGUAUUUGUCUUUCGGGACAGAGAGAGCGGCGUACGGGUGCGGAACACGUGUGCAACCUACCUUUAUCAGGGGGAUAGCCUUUCGAAAGGAAGAUUAAUACCCCAUAAUAUAUUAAGCGGCAUCGCUUGAUAUUGAAAACUCCGGUGGAUAGAGAUGGGCACGCGCAAGAUUAGAUAGUUGGUAGGGUAACGGCCUACCAAGUCAAUGAUCUUUAGGGGGCCUGAGAGGGUGAUCCCCCACACUGGUACUGAGACACGGACCAGACUCCUACGGGAGGCAGCAGUGAGGAAUAUUGGACAAUGGGUGAGAGCCUGAUCCAGCCAUCCCGCGUGAAGGACGACGGCCCUAUGGGUUGUAAACUUCUUUUGUAUAGGGAUAAACCUACUCUCGUGAGAGUAGCUGAAGGUACUAUACGAAUAAGCACCGGCUAACUCCGUGCCAGCAGCCGCGGUAAUACGGAGGGUGCAAGCGUUAUCCGGAUUUAUUGGGUUUAAAGGGUCCGUAGGCGGAUCUGUAAGUCAGUGGUGAAAUCUCAUAGCUUAACUAUGAAACUGCCAUUGAUACUGCAGGUCUUGAGUAAAGUAGAAGUGGCUGGAAUAAGUAGUGUAGCGGUGAAAUGCAUAGAUAUUACUUAGAACACCAAUUGCGAAGGCAGGUCACUAUGUUUUAACUGACGCUGAUGGACGAAAGCGUGGGGAGCGAACAGGAUUAGAUACCCUGGUAGUCCACGCCGUAAACGAUGCUAACUCGUUUUUGGGUCUUCGGAUUCAGAGACUAAGCGAAAGUGAUAAGUUAGCCACCUGGGGAGUACGUUCGCAAGAAUGAAACUCAAAGGAAUUGACGGGGGCCCGCACAAGCGGUGGAUUAUGUGGUUUAAUUCGAUGAUACGCGAGGAACCUUACCAAGGCUUAAAUGGGAAUUGACAGGUUUAGAAAUAGACUUUUCUUCGGACAAUUUUCAAGGUGCUGCAUGGUUGUCGUCAGCUCGUGCCGUGAGGUGUUAGGUUAAGUCCUGCAACGAGCGCAACCCCUGUCACUAGUUGCCAUCAUUAAGUUGGGGACUCUAGUGAGACUGCCUACGCAAGUAGAGAGGAAGGUGGGGAUGACGUCAAAUCAUCACGGCCCUUACGCCUUGGGCCACACACGUAAUACAAUGGCCAGUACAGAGGGCAGCUACCUAGCGAUAGGAUGCGAAUCUCGAAAGCUGGUCUCAGUUCGGAUUGGAGUCUGCAACUCGACUCUAUGAAGCUGGAAUCGCUAGUAAUCGCAUAUCAGCCAUGAUGCGGUGAAUACGUUCCCGGGCCUUGUACACACCGCCCGUCAAGCCAUGGAAGUUUGGGGUACCUGAAGUCGGUGACCGUAACAGGAGCGCCU
rnacentral:rRNA from 1 species